GACGAACGCUGGCGGCGUGCUUAUCACAUGCAAGUCGAACGGAAAGGCCCUGCUUUUGUGGGGUGCUCGAGUGGCGAACGGGUGAGUAACACGUGAGUAACCUGCCCUUGACUUUGGGAUAACUUCAGGAAACUGGGGCUAAUACCGGAUAGGAGCUCCUGCUGCAUGGUGGGGGUUGGAAAGUUUCGGCGGUUGGGGAUGGACUCGCGGCUUAUCAGCUUGUUGGUGGGGUAGUGGCUUACCAAGGCUUGGACGGGUAGCCGGCCUGAGAGGGUGACCGGCCACAUUGGGACUGAGAUACGGCCCAGACUCCUACGGGAGGCAGCAGUGGGGAAUAUUGCACAAUGGGCGGAAGCCUGAUGCAGCAACGCCGCGUGCGGGAUGACGGCCUUCGGGUUGUAAACCGCUUUCGCCUGUGACGAAGCGUGAGUGACGGUAAUGGGUAAAGAAGCACCGGCUAACUACGU
rnacentral:rRNA from 1 species